GACCAUGGCAGGUGUACUCGUACAGGUAUAAAUCGAUAGUCCCUACUCAGGAGAACUCAGUCGCAGGACUACUCCUCGCAGUUUCAACAUCGUCACCGUCAUCAUUCAAUCGAAAUAGUGUUACGUGCAUUUUAUAUUUUUGUAAUUGUGUGUGACGUCUCCAGAAUGAAAAGACCAAGUACGAGUGUCCUACCUACGGAGAUUAUUAUUCACAUAUUUAAAUACGUUCCCAUACUAUGGAAGAUUAAACUGGAAAGAGUUUGCAGGCAAUGGCAGGAGGCGAGCAAAGCUUCCUGGAGCGGUAUUAGGCGAUUAAUUGUCGUUUCUCCCCGUCGGCGCAGAAACUCCCUUGGCAUAUAUGUCCAAAAUGAUGAAAUAUAUGUCUCAAGAUAUGACCAAAUAAUGAUGGAUGCCAUUCUAUCUCGUAUUGGGCACAACAUCACCCAUCUAUCAUUUGAGUUGUUUUCUGUCGAUCUGGAUAAACAUUUCUUCCUACUCAUCGCGAAACAUUGCACCAAUGUGGAGAACUUCAGCAGCAGCGGAUGGCAGAAAUCAGCAGAGCUGAAGCACUUACUUUCUUGCAAUACAAAAUUAAGAUCCAUUUACUUGGAUGGAGCAGAGGUGGCAUGCCGAUUUGGGAAAAGGCUUCGAAGGAACGAGUAGUGGAACUCAUAAAUGGCAGUUCCGAUUUGGAAGAUUUGAGACUUGACACAUGGUCGGAAGAAAUUCGUGAUGCCGUCGUAAAGAAGUCGAAAUUGAAGUCCCUGGGUUAUUGCGAAGAAUUGUUUCGCUAUGGUCGACGUCCGGAGUUAAUUAAUUUCCAGGGAAUGCGAUU